CAUCACCUCAUUUGCAUAAGUGGCCUUGUGCAUGUAAUUGUGAUGGAAGCUGUAGGAGAGAGGAACAACGUCGUGGGGGAGACAAAAGGGUGGGAUCAGCUAGGGUCAGCUUCCUGCAUGCACGAUUAAUUUGCAGUCUCGGCAGGGGUGAACAUCCCCUGCGCUGACUGCAGCUGGGAGGGACUGCUGUGUGAGGACUGGGCCACCUGUGAGUGCUUUGAGACGGGGGUGGGGCCCACUGCAGUGCUCGUUGAGAAGACGGGUCAGAUGCCGGACACCAACCACACCAGGAAUUCUCUUCAACUAUUCAACCUGAAAAUCCAUUGGCACCCCUGAGAUGACUCCUUUGACCUGUGCUCUACUCCGAAGUUCAAAACACAACUUCUGUGGUCCGGAUUCUUUUGAGGCUCACUGCAAUCUUCCUCUGCUCUUCAGAAAUACAAUUAAUUAAAAUAAGACCACUCCUGGUCACUCUGACAGACUCUUCCAAGCGCAUACUUCACAAUUUGACACCUCAAACGGGUUUCCCACAUAUGCAUCCCAACAAGAAGUGACUCAUUUGCACACGUAUUCUCCAUUCCAAUUUUAAGACAAUUUUAUUUUUUUGUUCCGGUUUUCAAUAUUACUGUUGAACAUUCGCCUUCACCAAAUUUACUCAACGCGCUGAUCCAUUUGAACUCAUCAACCAUUUCUGUUAUCUUCCACCCUUAACCCCCUACCAUUUGUACCAUUUGACAUUGUCAACUUCAAUGGGGUAGGGACGUCCCAAGAAUCCAGAUAGCAAAAGAGCUGGUUAAAAAGGGUACUCCACUGCCUCACUAUGGUACUUUACCGCAUCUACUGGAAGAUCAGAUGAAUUCACACAAAAUCAAUGUGAAAAACAAAUGCCCCAUAGGACUGCAUUACCACCUGCACAUAAGUUUACGUUUAUAAAGAACUAAAAAUUGACAUGGAUUUCAUCAGCCAGUGAGACAGACUUUAUGAGGUUUCUGUGUUAUGCACUAUAUCCCAUUACCAUAUAUAUGAUUGAAUAUUAUCUGCUGUUGGCUUGUGUGGAUGUAUGUAUGUGUUAUGCAACAUAGCUGACUUGAAACAUUGUUAACAGUUUCAAGGCCAUGGGACUUUCUAAUGAUGGAAAAAGACAGAGAUGCAUGAAGACAGGAACUGUUCAAUGAGUUGGGAGGGGGGCACAUUCAGAGCGGGGUGUUGCGAGAACAAGCGGUCUUUUGUUAGAUAACAGGAGCCAGGUGCGAGAACGGUAUGAGCGCAUGGAUGUUCUUCGCAGCAACAGUUACAUCUAUCAGCAGAAGCGCCAAGAGGCGGGUACCCGCCUGAGCGCCUACAAUAGGCUGAGCAAGUUUAAACCACGCCCAGUCUCUACUGUGAUAGGCCAACAGACGGGUUGGAACUGUCUAUCACAGUAUAAAGAAUACUGUUUACAUACAUCUUGUCAGUUCUCUGUUUUGC